GGGCUUGUUUGGAAUCUUCGAGAAAAAGUAUUGAACUUUGUCCCGAUUGAGUGAAAAUGGAUAGACUGAGAGAUUGCAUAGAGGAAAUGGUGAAAUUCACACUCGACCACCGUACAGAUUUCGAUUUGGGGCUGACCGGUGAUUUCUGCUCCGGCCUUCUUUCCGGCGACCCACUUCUUCCCGCCGAUACUGUAGAAGAAGCAUUUGCAGGUGUUCCUGAUUAUCCCUUGUACAAGCCUCUAGCUUUAAGCCUGAUGAAAUCAGUUGCUUCUGGUUGUUUCUGUGGAACCUUUGAGAAGAUUCCGUUGGUGAAAGAGGUAACCUGGUUGAAGGAGAGAGAGGAUGAGUGGAGCAAGCUGAUUGCCCAAAAGGGAUCCGAGUUAGUCAAUGCCGUUAAGGAUAUAGCUUGUGAGCUUCACGUUCAAGAGCCCUUAUUCUCCCUCAUGAAAGAUGGCAUCAAAACAGUUGACGCAAGGUGUUUCGAAGCUGGGUAUGAUAGACUUGAACAAAGAAGCUCAACUGUUAUGAUAAAUAAAUGUCUCAUAUUUGAAGUUCUGGAAGUUCACCAGUUUUCUUCCUUUUACGAGCUGUUGAAAGCCGAGAGUCCAGAGAAAGUGUUUCCUGGCAUUAAAACAUUGGAACAAGUCUUAGGUAUGCAAAUGUUUAGGAAGUUGUAUGAUGUUGAUCAAGAGGAGGUAAACGGUGUUGUAGCAAUCCAUCUUACUAAAUCAGUUUCUCAGCCUUCUGUAGCUUUGGCUCACAUACUCUCUGUGAGUUGUAGUUUUUCCAUGUCUUCUUCUGUGAUUUAUGAUUCAUAUUCCCUUUUCCUAUGUUUCUCCCAAAAACUAGUUUUCAAAAUUGCAGGGUUUGAGUUACACCGGGGUGCAAAGCCUUCUGGGUCUUUCUCACACUAUUGGGUCCAUUUCUCAUGCUCUGCCUCCUCCGAGAUCGAUUCUACUCUCUUCAUUCAUGCUUCCAUAUAGACCAAAGGUUGUAGAUUGAGCCAUGGAGCUAGAGCAUUAGCCAAACAUGUUGAUCGAAGUAGCGACAGAUUUUGGGGUGUUCUUCAUGGAACUGAUUCAGAUAAGAAUAGCCUUGCGAUGGAGAUUAUCAACCGCUUUGUUGGCCACUGUUGCUGGAUGAACAUACAUAUCGUUCCACCACACGGUGAAGUGUUCGAGAUAAGAGUAGCUCAAGGCUAUGGAGCACGUUGGUCUCAAGAUGGAACCAAAUUCAUUGGAUUUCUUGAGCCUUACACUGAGGACGGUCACUCCAUGGACUGGAAGCAUUAGACCACACCUGAACAUUUCUUUUGUAGCUGAAUUUUUUUCUUUAAAAACUCUAAAUGCUUCUUUU